CGAACUGCACGGUGACAAAAACCUACCACUACCAUCUACGCCCGCUCGUACCCACCCGACCCACAACCCACCUCCCCUCCCACCUUCUUCCUCCUGCGGUUGCCAGAGCCCCGCAUCGCCCUGCCUUCCUCUGCGCCGCCGCGCCGACCACCCGGCGCCGCCCCGAUCCGCCGAGCCACCGCAGCCACCUCCGCCUUGCCUUGAAGCCGCCGCCGCCACUGCCAGGGCCCCACGCCACCAGCUAGCCACGGCCGCGCCUCCUCUCCAUACGGCCUCCGAGCCUCUCCUUCCCCACCCCACAUUGCCGCCAUGCCCCAAGCCACGCCCGACGGCUGCCGUGCAUCCCCUCCCCCACCACAUCGUGUCGUCACCCCCACACCACACCUAGGCCACCACCUCGCAGCCACCACCGCACCUCCACCCUCCCCCGCGGCACCACCGCACCACUCGCGGCAUCGGAUCCGGCGGGAUCCGCACCGCCCGCGCUCAUCUCGGUGGACAGCGGCUCAUCUCGGUGGAGUUCAACGACGGAGGGCAAAGGCCCAUGGUGGUCUCGAGCCUCCACCAGUCCCCACGGUGGAGGGCCAUCGCGGCAGCUCUUCUCCUGGGCCCCCUUCUCCCCCCAUGACGGCGACGACCUCUCCAGCUCCGACUCCUCCAUCUCCAUCAACACCUACUACUCCGCCGCUCCAACCUACCCCUACGGCAAGUCGCCUGGUCCACCAAGCCUACCUCUUGUCGCGGCGGCCCGGGAAAUCACCGGAUCCCGGCGAGAUCCGACGGUGGACUUCUUCUCGGGUGUGCAGUUCGGCCCCCAGCGGUGAUGCAGUGCAGCUCCAGAUACGCUGGAGAUCCAUGGCGUCGCUCCGAGCACAGCCGAAGACCGUCGUGGAGUUCGCCGGCGACGCCCCCUCCACAACUCACGGUGUCCAAGCUGGGUCCACUAGCCGACGCCUCUCGCCCCCCUCUGCAUCUUCAUUCACGAGAGGGAUCCUCCUCGAUCCGUGUUCGCGCCUCCAUGGUUGUGCGCGUGCUUGCAGUACACUGACAUGAGGAGGGCGACGACACGCAUAGGUGAUAUGCAGUAUGCCAGCACACCGAUUACUUGCAGUUUUAUCUCUGAAUUAAUCCCUAAACUAACAUGCUUGAAGUUCAGUCCCUGUUUUUUUGUGAUUCAGCUUUGUUGUGGUUAUUGGCAGGAGAGCAUAAACACAGGGAAAAGGGGAGAAGGAAGAACUUCGUCGGUUUAGUUCUCUGCCCAGUGCAGCUUAGUUUUGUUGUUCAUUGAUUUAGCAGGAGAGUGUAAGCAGUUCUCUGCCCAGUGCCGUUCUGUUGGGUCAUAUAUUUUGUUGUGCACUUGAUGGCGCGUGGUUGUUUUUAUUUUUGAUAUUUUUUUGGACUAAUAAAGGGACUCCAAUACAUCACCCCGUGCGUGUGGUUAGAUUU